rnacentral:rRNA from 1 species
GAUGAACGCUGACAGAAUGCUUAACACAUGCAAGUCAACUUGAACUUCGGUUUGGGUGGCGGACGGGUGAGUAACGCGUAAAGAACUUGCCUCACAGAUAGGGACAACAUUUGGAAACGAAUGCUAAUACCUGAUAUUAUGAUUAUAUGGCAUCGUAUAAUUAUGAAAGCUAUAUGCGCUGUGAGAGGGCUUUGCGUCCCAUUAGCUAGUUGGAGAGGUAACGGCUCACCAAGGCGAUGAUGGGUAGCCGGCCUGAGAGGGUGAUCGGCCACAAGGGGACUGAGACACGGCCCUUACUCCUACGGGAGGCAGCAGUGGGGAAUAUUGGACAAUGGACCAAGAGUCUGAUCCAGCAAUUCUGUGUGCACGAUGAAGUUUUUCGGAAUGUAAAGUGCUUUCAGUUGGGAAGAAAAAAAUGACGGUACCAACAGAAGAAGUGACGGCUAAAUACGUG